GAUGAACGCUGGCGGCGUGCCUAGUACAUGCAAGUCGAGCGAACGGACGAGAAGCUUGCUUCUCUGAUGUUAGCGGCGGACGGGUGAGUAACACGUGGAUAACCUACCUAUAAGACUGGGAUAACUUCGGGAAACCGGAGCUAAUACCGGAUAAUAUUUUGAACCGCAUGGUUCAAAAGUGAAAGACGGUCUUGCUGUCACUUAUAGAUGGAUCCGCGCUGCAUUAGCUAGUUGGUAAGGUAACGGCUUACCAAGGCAACGAUGCAUAGCCGACCUGAGAGGGUGAUCGGCCACACUGGAACUGAGACACGGUCCAGACUCCUACGGGAGGCAGCAGUAGGGAAUCUUCCGCAAUGGGCGAAAGCCUGACGGAGCAACGCCGCGUGAGUGAUGAAGGUCUUCGGAUCGUAAAACUCUGUUAUUAGGGAAGAACAUAUGUGUAAGUAACUGUGCACAUCUGGACGGUACCUAAUCAGAAAGCCACGGCUAACUACGU
rnacentral:rRNA from 1 species